rnacentral:rRNA from 1 species
GACGAACGCUGGCGGCGUGCUUAACACAUGCAAGUCGAACGGAAAGGCUCCAGCUUGCUGGUGUGCUCGAGUGGCGAACGGGUGAGUAACACGUAGGCAAUCUGCCCUGCACUCUGGGAUAAGCCUGGGAAACUGGGCCUACUACCGGAUAGGACCUUUCUCCCCAUGGGGUUCGGUGGAAAUUUUUUCGGUGCAGGAUGAGCGCGCGGCCUAUCAGCUUGUUGGUGGGGUAAUGGCCUACCAAGGCGACGACGGGUAGCCGGCCUGGGAGGGUGAUCGGCCACCAUGGGACUGAGAUACGGCCCAGACUGCUACGUGAGGCAGCAGUGGGGAAUAUUGCACAAUGGGCGAAAGCCUGAUGAAGCGACGCCGCGUGAGGGAUGACGGCCUGCGGGGUGUAAACCGCUUUCAGUAGGGACGAAGCGCAAGUGACGGUACCUGCAGAAGAAGCACCGGCUAACUACGUG